CACCAUAAAACUUCCAUAAACUAAUAUACUGAGUACUCAGUAAUACUCCCCAUCGACCGACCGCUCUCGCCCAAGGCUACACAGGCGACGCGCCGCCCCCUCCCCAUCGACGGCGCCCACUUCGGCCCCGUCGUCCACCACUUGGGCCCUUGUCUGCGUCUGCCCCGGGCGGCCCCUGUCCCCGCCGCCGGCUUCCAUCCCCGCAGGUAUGUGCCCCGUGGUGGUCAACUUAUCCAUUCUCAGGGCGGAUCUGGAUAAGAAAACUCAAAAUGUGAUGGACCAAGACAAACGGGCGGCGGGAUCUCAUCUGUUUCUAUUUCAUCCUCGAGCCGCCGGAAGAAUAGAUUUAUUGUUGCCAUCUUUCUGCGUGGCUAGGACCUCAGGUCGGAUCUGAUUCCCUUUAUCUGAUUUCCUUUAGUGCUUCACGUGGCAUGUGUACGUGAGAUUUCCCCUGUCUCUAUUCUUUCUGUGUCUUCCCUCUAGAUCUAAUGUAGGUGAGAUUGCAAAUUGAUCAUCUAUACUAUAGACGAUUUUAAUUUGUCAACAUCACUUGAUCUGUAGUGUGAUGUGCAGGCUCCAGCUAGAUUCAUAUACUUUGCCUCGGUUCCUAUUAUUCUCGUUUGUGCCCUCCACAUAUGUGUUGCCUAGUGAUUGAAAAAUGCAAAUUAAUAUUUGCUUCUGGAUCCUAGUUAGAUAGGGCUAAAUCUCUGGAUCUGUAGUGUGCCCUGCAGUUGCAACUAGCUGCAUAUAACAUUUUUCCCUACCUAAAUGACUCGUACUUGAGUGGCUUAGCUUAUGCAUAUUGAGGUGGACACACACACAUACACGGUUAUCAUCAGUUUUAUACUAGCUUUGCUGAUGCUACAUUUUCUUCAGUUGAGAUGAACUAAGUACUUUUCAGUAAUUCAUGUUCAGUUUUAUUUAUGCAUCUAAAUAGUUCAUACACUUCAGAAUGGUUUGUUCUUGUAUUCAAGUGGAAGUUAGGGAACGUUUGAACUUUGAUUUCCUUUUGAGUUAUGUCUCUACUUCAUCUUAUCAAUUAACAAUGUUUUUGGAUAUCAUGUAUGGUUUAUCUAAUUACUCUUCCCACGGUCACCACAGUAGAAAAACUAAAAUUUGCUUAUGCUAUGUAUCAACCUUAUCAUGGCACAUGAUCCUACUUGGAGGGCUAACUCCAACAACCUAGCUUUGUAGUAUGCUUCCUGGCCAGAUUUUAAAAGGAAGGAUCUUGUCAUGUGUAUGUUGUGUAUUCAGAAAGUCCAUGCUGGAGUAGGAAGGUUGGUGCGGCACCUUACUGGAGGUUCAAGUGAUGUGAAGAAGUCUCCCGAGUCAACCGCGGAAAUUCAGAAGACAUGCGUAGCUACUUAUUAGAUAGAAAAAAGUUUAAAGUCAUAGAUUGAGAUAUAGAUGAGAAAAAGUUACAUCAAAAUUUUCUAAUUAAGAUCAGGCUAGAGAUGACUUGAGAAGGGGCUUCUGGAUUUUACUUUUAAUGAUGCUCAUGCUAAUUUUACUCUCGCAGGUACAUGCAGACCUCAAAUACUGGUGUGGAUUUGGGUACAUGACAACAUAUGUGUGCUUCUAACCAAUUUGUGUAAGCUGCUAAAACUCAUCCCAGUCAUCCAUCGAAGAACGGAAAUAUAUGAGUGAAGUAGAUUGGAGUGAAGAUCACAUGGAGCACACAUGUCUUAAAGCUUUGCAUAGACCAUGAAAAAAAGAAUUAUUAUGGAUAUCAAGUUUUUAUUCAUUUAGUUAGAUUUCUUACCUCUACAAGACCCUGAAAAAAAGAAUUAUUAUGUAUAUUAAUUUUUUAUUCACCUAGUUAGAUUUCUUAUGUCUAGAACGUGUAAUAUGUAUUUUCAGAUACUAAAUGGAUUUUGUUGAAAUAGAGUAUCGCCACCAAGUGUUCAAA